CUUUCUUUCAUCUCAGAAAUAUUGCUAAGAUAAGAAAUUUAAUGUCACUACGUGACGUGGAAAAACUAGUUCAUGCUUUCGUUACCUCCAGGUUGGAUUAUUGUAAUGCCUUACUGUCUGGAUGUUCCAAUAAGUGCAUAAACAAGCUCCAGUUAGUUCAAAAUGCAGCAGCAAGAGUCCUUACUAGAACUAAAAAAUAUGACCACAUCACGCCUGUCUUAUCCACACUGCAUUGGCUCCCAAUCAAAUUUCGUAUUAAUUAUAAAAUACUACUAUUGACCUUUAAAGCACUGAAUGGUCUUGCACCACAGUACCUGAGUGAACUUCUGCUCCUCUAUGACCUGCCACGCCUACUUAGAUCAAAAGGUGCAGACUAUCUGCUGGUAUCUCGUAUAGUGAAGGCUACAUCAGGGGGCGGAGCCUUUUCUUACAAAACCCCUUGUAAGAUUGUAUGUGUGUUCUCGUGCAUAGCUGUACUGAACUUAUGACCCUUUCACACCCUGGUAAACGUGCAUAAUCGCGAGAACAUACUCUUUUAUUUUCUCUGUACCUUCUAGUUUCGCUGAAACCACAUUCCUGGUUCCUCCUGUUCUAGGGGGUGUAUGGUCUGCUCUUUCAUGUAUAAUAAAAACGACUCCUUAUCUGGCGAGUUGACCUUGUGCCCCCGAGCCCCUUACUUAUCUUGUCACGCAAGCUUCUGAUGUAUAUAAACCCUGCUCUCUGUGUGUAUCACUGAGCAGUGCCUGAAUAAACCAGAUUGAUUUAACUCGUGUGGUUUGCUUUAACCCUGCUCCAGAGCGCUCUUACGUCAACGCAUCUGAACUGAGACAGACACAGGUUCUAACAAUUUGGUGACCCCGACGUGAUACUCUCAAUCAGAAAGUUGCUGUGACAAUAGCUGACGGCCUUUUCAGGGAUCCCCUUUCCAGCAUCCGGAGUGAUCCGGUUUCGGCUGAUCUACAAAGAGGGGAUGGUCGGUGCGUCCCGCAGACUUCUGAACUGAGGAAUCUGGAAGACACGUGAGCCUGGGCUACCUUCAACUAUCUACAUCCUGUGGACACAGAAAGAACAAAGUCAGUGACCAGUAUGACUUUCCUUCUGGUAUUGGUCUUAGUGCUUGGAGCAGGGAAUCCCGCUCAAGCCAGCCACGAGGACAACGUUUUUUGGCGAUUUGCCAAUUGGACUGCUAAACAACAUACUAAUCAGUCUUGUUAUGUCUGUCAAUACGUUAGAGUCUAAACUGUAGUUAUACUCUGUAAACAAAGUAUAAAAGAGGGGAUUGUAAGAUUGUAUGUGUGUUCUCGUGCAUAGCUGUACUGAACUUAUGACCCUUUCACACCCUGGUAAACGUGCAUAAUCGCGAGAACAUACUCUUUUAUUUUCUCUGUACCUUCUAGUUUCGCUGAAACCACAUUCCUGGUUCCUCCUGUUCUAGGGGGUGUAUGGUCUGCUCUUUCAUGUAUAAUAAAAACGACUCCUUAUCUGGCGAGUUGACCUUGUGCCCCCGAGCCCCUUACUUAUCUUGUCACGCAAGCUUCUGAUGUAUAUAAACCCUGCUCUCUGUGUGUAUCACUGAGCAGUGCCUGAAUAAACCAGAUUGAUUUAA